CACGUGGGAAGCCAUUGCACAGAUGAUGCACUAUGCCAGCGCGGUGGUCAACGUAGUUUUCUUGCUGCCGCUGAAUCCGCCAUUCUGAGUUAUUUCGUCCUCUCGUUAAUUGCAGAAUGGAAGAGGUACGACGUCCGGAGUUUAGUCAUCGGUUUUACUUAUCUAAGAUAUGAAUAAGAAAUGGUAUUCGAGACACAACGAUGACUGGACGUAUGCGUAGUGAUUUCGUUCGUUAACGUUAACAGUACAGUGUGACAUAUGUACUUAGGAAUAUGAAAGAUGGAUUUGGUUACAGUUAAACAGAAUUGACAUCUUCUCUUUAAGUGACGUACGCGCCUAUGUGACAGUCUAUUAAGUUAUGAAUGCCUUGCAACUUGAGUUUCAUUACUAGCAUUUAUCAAUCUGAGUGAAGUUAUAUCCAGUGCCAAUUUGAUUAUCAAUGUAAAUCAAAUUACGAGAAAUACUUAAGAAAUAUGAUACUUACACGAUGCAAGCGUUGUUGGAAUCACUCGUUGUCUAGAUAAAACACGUCUAGAUAGCUGCUUAGAGGAACGAAUACUGCGUAUUAACAACGUGUUAGUAAGGGCAACGAAUGGGGGAAAGUCGAUCUCUCCGAUCGUCCUUUGAUUAUUUACAAAUAUUUUUCCCUACAAGCUUCUCAAAUUCUUCGAAUUGUACGACGUAUAUAUACACAAUAUAUUCACACGUAGUAAUAACAAUACAUCAUUCUCGACUGGUUUUUCUUUCGUUGCUUGCUGGAAACAAUAAGCUAUUGUCUAUAUACUGAUGUUAUCUUUCUCUUUCUAUUAAGAUUGUAUGUAUUUAAAAAGAGACAAAUUUACGUGUGCGUAAGCAACGAGACUUUGCUAUAAGGAUAAUUUAAAUGUUUUAAAAUUAACCUUAUCCUUUAUUUUUAUGCAUGAAUUAUCGUCGGGAAAACAUCAUUUUUUGACACAAUUUUUUCAAACAAAACGAAGCGC